rnacentral:rRNA from 1 species
GAGUUUGAUCAUGGCUCAGGUACGAACGCUGGCGGCGUGCUUAACACAUGCAAGUCGAACGAGGACUAGAGAGCUUGCUCUCUAUAGCCGAGUGGCGAACGGGUGAGUAACACGUGACCAACCUGUCUUUGGGUGAGGGACAACCUGGGGAAACCCGGGCUAAUACCGCAUAAAGUCUUUUUUUUCACAUGGGGAAGAGACCAAAGGGGGCCUCUGCUUGCAAGCUCCUGCCUGAAGAGGGGGUCGCGUCGUAUCAGCUUGUUGGUGAGGUAACGGCUCACCAAGGCUCUGACGCGUAGCGGGUCUGAGAGGACGAUCCGCCACAUUGGGACUGAGAUACGGCCCAGACUCCUACGGGAGGCAGCAGUGGGGAAUAUUGCGCCAUGGUCGAAAGACUGACGCACCGACGCCGCGUGUGGAAGGAAGCCUUUCGGGGUGUAACCACUGUCAGGGGGGAAGAAAUCCCGAAUGUCAAAUAGGGCAUUCGAUUGACGGUACCUUCCGAAGGAAGCGGCCGGUAAACUCCUGGCCACAGCCGCGGUAAGAACGGAGGGGGCAAGCGUUGUUCGAAUUUCCUGGGGCUUAAAGCCCACCCCA